GCCCGUACCGUAAACCGACACAGGUGGGUGGGAUGAGUAUUCUAAGGCGCGUGGAAGAACUCUCUUUAAGGAACUCUGCAAAAUAGCACCGUAUCUUCGGUAUAAGGUGUGCCUAGCUUCGUUAAGAAUUUACUUCGUAAGCGAAGAAGGUUACAACAAAGAGUCCCUCCCGACUGUUUACCAUAAACACAGCACUCUGCUAACUCGUAAGAGGAUGUAUAGGGUGUGACGCCUGCCCGGUGCUCGAAGGUUAAUUGAUGAUGUUAGCUUAUGCAAAGCAUCUGAUCGAAGCCCGAGUAAACGGCGGCCGUAACUAUAACGGUCCUAAGGUAGCGAAAUUCCUUGUCGGUUAAAUACCGACCUGCAUGAAUGGCGUAACGAGAUGGGAGCUGUCUCAAAGAGGGAUCCAGUGAAAUUGUAGUGGAGGUGAAAAUUCCUCCUACCCGCGGCAAGACGGAAAGACCCCGUGGACCUUUACUAUAGCUUGACACUGCUACUUGGAUAAAGAUGCGCAGGAUAGGUGGGAGGCUUCGAUUCGUAGAUCUCGGUUUACGAUGAGCCAUUGUUGAGAUACCACUCUUCUUUAUUCGGGUAGCUAACUAGCCUAAGUUAUCCUUAGGUAGGACAAUGUCUGGUGGGUAGUUUGACUGGGGCGGUCGCCUCCCAAAAUGUAACGGAGGCUUACAAAGGUUGGCUCAAAGCGGUUGGAAAUCGCUUGCAGAGUAUAAAGGCAAAAGCCAGCUUAACUGCGAGACAUACACGUCAAGCAGAGACGAAAGUCGGUCUUAGUGAUCCGGUGGUUCUGUGUGGAAGGGCCAUCGCUCAAAGGAUAAAAGGUACCCCGGGGAUAACAGGCUGAUCUCCCCCAAGAGCUCACAUCGACGGGGAGGUUUGGCACCUCGAUGUCGGCUCAUCGCAUCCUGGGGCUGGAGCAGGUCCCAAGGGUAUGGCUGUUCGCCAUUUAAAGCGGUACGCGAGCUGGGUUCAGAACGUCGUGAGACAGUUCGGUCCCUAUCUGCCGUGGGCGCAAGAAGAUUGAGGAGAGUUGACCCUAGUACGAGAGGACCGGGUUGAACCGACCACUGGUGUACCGGUUGUUCUGCCAAGAGCACCGCCGGGUAGCUAAGUCGGGAUGCGAUAAGAGCUGAAAGCAUCUAAGCUCGAAGCCGACUCCAAGAUGAAUCUUCUUUUAAGAGCUCUAGUAGACUACUAGUUUGAUAGGCCGGAUGUGUAAUGGAUGAAAGUCCUUUAGCUGACCGGUACUAAUAGCUCGUUUGCUUAUCUUU
rnacentral:rRNA from 1 species